UGUACACAAAGAAAAAUGGAGAACUAAAUGAAAAAAAUACAACAUGCACUUUAAGUCAUCCUUUUUCUAUGCUGUCGGAAUGAAGGAUCCGACUACUUAAACAGACUUCCAAGAGCUCAAACUUCAAAUCUGAAAGUUGUUGAAAAUGCUUCACGCCAAGCCACAAACUCUUCCUUGUAUUUGACCUGACCCUUGGCAAGACAGGAGUGUACUACUAUCUUCGUGUCAAUGAUAAUCAGAUCAAAUCAGGGGUGGAGAACCAGUCCAGAAGCAACAAGAACCCUCGAAGAGCUGAAAAUUUCCUUUAGAACCAUCCUAAUGUUGUCAAGUGUAUACUCUAGAAGCUUGAUAUAGUUCCACUUGGCUUCUCCAGCACUCUUCCAGAGAGAUUACACUUCAGCUCGAAGUGUACAAUUAAAUUUGUAGAUCCUUAAGCGCAUUUAGUUUCUCUAAUCUACCAUUUGAUGAAAGAGAAGAAUUUUCACCAGCAUUUAGGCCUACAGCUCCAUUUGCAGGGGAUUUCUGUACCUGAUUGUUAGCUGAACUUUGAAUACCUCCAAAGUAAGUUGAGUGGACAAAGUACUCAGCACAACGAACUUUCCAUCUGGAUGCAGCAUCAUGGUCAACCAGAGUUGUCUCCAGGAGUUUGUGAACUGUCAUGCAGUCGUUCAAUUUCCAUGACCUGACAGUUCCUUUUCCUCCGUCCAUAGAAACAAGAUCAUUAACAGAGUCUUCAAUUAAUUUGACAGCCUCAGCCUUCUUGUUUGGUUCCAGAACAUGUAGCAACUCAGCCACAGCAGCCCUAUGCAUCAAUGAUUCUUUAUGUUUCUCAAGAAAAGUGUUGUUUGCCUCAAUGAGAGAUUUACCAUGCAACUGGCUAAAGGCAGGUCGCUCUGCUUCCAAGACACCCCAGAUGAGCUUUUCAGAAUCAGUUACUAGAGUAGGCAAGGAGUCAACUUUAUGGAAGAACUUCAUCAAGCACAGAUGUGAUUUUGGAUCAUCUGCAUCCAACCGCAUUAAAUGCUUUAUUGCCUGCAAGGCAAGCAAGAUCUUCUGCUUCCUCAUGUUUACGUCAAAGGACAGCAAAUGUGUCUCCAAGAAAUCUGGUGAGUGCUUAAGGAGAAGCUUGAGGUACUUUGAGGCUUCUGCCAGAGGAUCUUCAGUCUGAAUCAAUUUUUCACCAUGUGGAUCAGGAUCUACAGGCUUCACAUGGCGCUUUCCAGAUUUAGUAGCACUAGUUGCAUUGGAUUCCUCAAUUUUGACUUCUGCAUCUUUCUUAGCUCGUGCUUCUGCUUUCCUCAGUUUUUGCUUUAAUUUCUUUUUCUGAGAAGGAGGCAACUUGGACAUUGCAUCAUCCUCUUCAGAUGCUGACUUCAAAGGAGAAUCAUACAGCUUCAGAUAGCAUCUGAUAGCACCACUAGCUGCUUUGCGAAAAUAUGCAUGUGAAUGAAGCCGGUCUUGAAACUUCAACAUUUCCACGUAGGCCCUCAGAGUCAUUUUUCUUAGGCAGUAGGAGUGAAAAUCAAACUGGUCCUCCGUGAUAUCCGCGUAAUGCUUCUCCACUGCCAGAAACUUCUUUAAAGACCUUCCCAGCUCACCUUGGCGAAGAUAACUUUCCCCUGAUGCUAGUUCAUACCACAUGCACUGCAUAUCAUAAAGGUUAUUGUGUUGCUCCCCGUCUUUGGUGAAUAGUACAGCAGUCUUUUCAGCCAAAGUGACCUGAUCUGCCUGAAGCAUGCGCUUAACACAUUCGCUAUUAACAUAUCGAUCAGCAAGAUCCAUACACCUAGCCUCAUCAGCAAGUGCAGCAGCUGCUGCCAAGUCACCAGCAUGCUUUAGUAUGCGGCUCUUGACAGAGUAUAAAUCUAUUACAGUUGGAGUGUGCUCGAUUGCCUCGUCAAUUUUAGUCAGAGCAAUGUCAUACUGUUCACGUCUAUCAUAGUGCUGAGCCAAAUAAAAUAAAGUCCACAUAAGUGUUGAAGGGGGUUCCUUCUCCACUCUCCCAGGGUAUCCACCAGUACUCUUAAGUGAUUGUUCAAGCUUCAAAACUAUUUCCCCUAGAAUAUCAGCCUUGCCAGGAUGAUCAUAUAACGGAUAAAGAUCAGAAAACAAAGAAGGAACCCCUUUUGUCAGAAGAGGUCGAAUAUAAUUAUCUGCAGCUUCUCGAAACUUGUCAUCUUGGAGAAAAUCAAGUGGAAUCCUCUUUACAGCAGAUGAUCUACUAUACUGAUGGGCAAGUACUCUGUACAAAUUUUCUAGUCUAUCAAUUUCAUCAGCGGUAUAUUGCCCCUUUUCAGAAUACAAUCCCAAACAUCUUUGUAAACCAUCAUAGUAUCUGUAAUUGUCAGGAUUCAUUGAGAGAAGCACUCUGAACAAUCUUUCACCUUCUUCAAAGCGGUGAAGCUUCAAAAGAAGUGAAACCUCUUGCUCCUUGUAGCCCAAUUUGUCAAAAAUCUUAGACUCUCUCUUGUGCAACUCUUCAAGGGCCCUCUCAAAAAAACCACAUUCCUCUAACAGAGAGACCUUGUAUAAAAGCAUCUCCCCAUGUUCACACCGUUCAUUUUCUGGAGGAUAAUCAUCUUCAAGAGUCCCUUCAUAUGCCUCGAGGAUGUCAACAGCUUUUGACCCAUUGGAGUUUAAAUGAUGAGAAACAGCAAAGCCUAUCCAAUUCAUGCGAUGAUUUGGCUUCAGAGUGAGCAAUUGCUGUCUUGUUUCAACAAAAACCUUCCAAGUCGCGCAUUUGUGCCUGUAGAAGGGAUAGGUCUCGUAAUAUCUCAAUAUUG
rnacentral:misc_RNA from 1 species